GACAGAGGAGGCGAGCGUUAUCCGGAGUCAUUGGGCGUAAAGGGUACGUAGGCGGCUAGUCAAGUCUGAGGUUAAAGACCACAGCUUAACUGUGGGAAGGCCGUGGAAACUGACUGGCUAGAGUGGGGCAGGGGUUGCGGGAAUUCCCGGUGUAGCGGGGAAAUGCGUAGAUAUCGGGAAGAACACCUGAGGCGAAAGCGCGCAACUGGGCCCUGACUGACGCUGAGGUACGAAAGCUAGGGGAGCGAAUGGG
rnacentral:rRNA from 1 species